CCGUAGGACUGCCUGCGGAGGACAUUAACAAAUGGAUCUUCGGAUCAACCAGGCCUCACCCUUCUCGGGCGGCUCGGGUUAACCCUUUGUGAACCAAAAAAACCUUUUUCGCUCGGCAGCUGGGUCCUAAACCAACCCGUCAGCCUGGCGCUAGCACAAACCUUAAAAACUUGUUGUCAAAAACAUUGUCUGAUAACCAAAAUUUUCGAAUGAAAAUCAAAACUUUCAACAACGGAUCUCUUGGUUCCCGCAUCGAUGAAGAACGCAGCGAAACGCGAUAGUUAAUGUGAAUUGCAGAAUUCAGUGAAUCAUCGAGUCUUUGAACGCACAUUGCGCCCAUUGGUAUUCCUUUGGGCAUGUCUGUUUGAGCGUCAUUACAACCCUCAGCUUAACCGCUGGUUUUGAACCCGAACGGGGCCUCCCGCCCCGCGCCGGUUUUAAAGUUGUAAGCUCUGCUGGCCGCUCUGCCCAACCAGAACAUAGUAAUAACCAUACUUUUGUUAGGGUGAAGUCGAGUGGUACGGCCUGAACAAAACCUACCCCUUCUCAAGGUUUGACCUCAGAUCAGACAAGGAUACCCGCUGAACUUAAGCAUAUC
rnacentral:rRNA from 1 species